GUAAGAACAAGAGGCGAGAGAGAAAUACAAAAACCACUCAAAAAUUUAUCUAACCUAAAAGUUGAUACGACUUUAAUACUGAUCACACAAAGUGGUGCUCUCUCAAAAGAAUCACGUCUCAAUUCUGAACAUUUCCCUGUUCUGUUCCUAUGGCUUUUGAAUUCCUUGGAAUCAAAAAACCUGUGUCUUUUUUGUUCUAAAUUUAUAUGGAUUUGCUUGAUUACUA
rnacentral:lncRNA from 1 species